UGGUUCAGUCGGUAGAGUGCUCGACUCGCAUGCCCGAGAUCAUCGGUUCGAUGCCCAG
rnacentral:tRNA from 1 species